AUAUAUUGCAGCAGAUUAUUUAAAUCAGAAGUUAUGAUGGCAAUAAAAUCUGUGGUAGAUGUUAUACAUUUCAUUCAUACAAAUAAAAUUUAUGUACAAAUUAAAAUUAAGUAUAGAUGUGUAGUAUUCAAUAAAAACAAAAACCCCGGAAAUCAUAAAAAUACAAGUAUAGAAUUAGAGUUUAUGUUAUUGGCUGAAUAAUAUUCAUAGCACACAAAAAUAUAUUUUGUUUUUAUAUUAUACUAUAAAGUAAUAUAUACAGGGCCGUACUGGACGAAGGGUUUUAAGGGCACUUGUCCCGAGCAACAGU